AGGCAUACAAUCAACUGCAUAUAGGCAACUGCAAUCCAACCCAUGCAACUACAGCUCUGUUUGGCUCAUCUUCCAUGUAUUGAGGCCACCUAAUACAGGACUUCUGCUUUGGGAAUGGACAGAUGAUACAGUUUCUUCAUGAAGAAACUUCAUGAAGAAAUUUCUUCUUCAAGUGAGUGUCACCAGCACUGGCCCUCACUCUCUGUGGUUUUCUGUGCCCUCAGGAGUCUCCUGUGUUGAUUGGAGUUAAUUGCUACGACUGAGCGAUUCUUUUCCUAACAGCUGAUGGUGCUGAAGACGUUACAGAAAAAUUAUCAGUCAAUUUCUCCCCACUCUUCCAUCAAUUUAUAGCAAUAUGUUAAGGGCAGCUGAAUCACACUUUACAUAAAACUCCUAUAAUCCAUUUCAGAUACGUGCUGUUACCUCCACUCCUUUUGUGAUUCCCUGUGGGAUACAUAUAUUCACUUUUGCUACUCAAAUUUCAUACACUAGAAACUUUUUGCUAGGUUGUGUAACUUGUAAAGAUGUAACUUAAAAAUGAGAGGAAUUCACAAGCGUUUGAUUUGCCUGAGAUCAAAACCAGCCAUCGAUUAAUAAAAAAAAUCUCCAAACAGGUAGAGAUGAAGAGUCAAGGAAGAGGUAGGAAGGGAAUGUGAGAUAAAAAGUGAAACAUCUGUAUGCAGCACACAGCCAGGACAUUUCCAGGGAAGACACAUGGUGGCAACUGAAUAGUGGAUUGAGUGAGUUUCAGCAGUGACUGUUUGAAGCUAAGGCAGAAGGGAAAAAAGCUGUAGUGGAUAAAUAGGAGGGAUGAACUUAUGUUUCCAUGAUUGGCAUAAUUAAGGAUGACUUAGACACUUACACAAGCUUUUGAAUAGCAUGUGUCACUAAUCUAAAUACCUAGGUAAGUAUUCCUUCUUCUCAAACUAGAGUUCUUCUAAUAAAGUGCAUAUUAAAUUAAUGCUAGAGGUCAGCUCAUCAAAAACACAAUAUGUUCAGCUCAUCAAAAACACAAAGUCCAGUCUAUCUCACCUAGACACCACAGUCACCACACAGACUUUUACAUUUGAGCCAAUCAGUACACAGUUACAAAUGUUUCUGUGAUCCUAAUUUAGAAUGAGGUGAAUAACACCUUAGAAACAGAAAAUCCUCUUUUCUGAUUAUGAAGGAAGCUUAGGAUAACUAAUUCAAAUGUAAACACUGUAGGUAACUGAAGCUUAGCUAGAAGACACCCAUUCAUGGACAUUGUAAUUGAGACUACUUUAUCUACCAUGCUGCUUGCUCUCAUGACUACCGCAUCAUGUAUUUAAAUUAGUGAGCUCUGGAAGCACAGAAUUAUGGAUUUUUCACCCAGGGCAGGAUAUCUUCAAAUACCAAUUUCACCCAGGCCUCAAUACCCUAUUACUUUUUUGGAAUGUAAAAGUGGUAUACUACUCUGCUAGGGCUUUUCUUCACUUGACUGACUUCUGGCCUCCUGCUGAAAACCACUUUUCAAAAUUAAAUCUAUAUUACCAGUCAACCUUAAGACACCAGCAAGCCCAGAGUCAUUGGUUGUCCCUUAUAAUAAUUGUUCCUUUGGUGUUUGGCAGCUGGUCCAGUGAGGGGCAACUGUCCCAGUACCAUCCCCAGCCACAGCAGACUCCAAGCAGGAUGGCACAAAGAAAAUCCUACUUCCUUCCCUUCCUCAUCUCCUGUUCUGACAGCUGGACAAUGUCAAUAUGCCUUUCAGAUUUUGAAGCUGGAAAUAAAAGGAGGAUUUAUAAUUGAUUAGCCAUUGCUUAUUUUAAUGACAUAUUUGUGGCAUUAAACUAAAUAUUUUCUUUAGAAAGAAAAGCACUAAAUUGAAAGCUUUGAGCAAUGAUCAAUGCAGGUAACAGAAAAUGUACCACUGGCAGAGACCCUGUGAUAACACAGACCAUGCUUGUCAGUAAAAUAAAGUUAUGUCUAUUGAAGUGCAGAAAAGAGAAUGCCUUUCCAAAAGUGACUUAUUCCUGAGUGUCUAGUACACUGUUUUCCCUUUUUCUGCAUAUGUCAGUUGGGGUGAAGAACUGAGACAUAUAUACAAGGUAAGAGCAGUGAGGAGUUUUACAUGCUGUGUAGGUAUGUGGUUGUACAGAGUAUUUAGGCACUAACAACAGAACUGGCAAUUGAUCUCUUAAUAGUCACAGCCUAAUCUUAGAUCUCAGAGCAAGAAAAUUCGAAGGAUGAAAUUUAACACUGAAAAUUGUCAUGGAUUUUUGAUUCAAUGCACAGAGAAUAGAAAGACAAAUGGAUAUUUAAAAAACACGAACAUGCAAUAUUGGAAAUCAAAAUAUUUACCUUGGAUUUCCCCAUUUAAAUGGCUAUAUAAAUUAAUAUCUUCCUAAUAAUUUUAAAUACAAAAUAAAACCAAGAUGUGAAACAAUGUGAGCUGUUAGCAAGGAAAGAAACACAGCUUCUGUAUAAAAGGAAUGAUUAUGUUCUGUAUUUUACAGCAGCAUUAAAUUCUUCAGUUGUAAAGGAAAAAAAAAAAGAAAGAAGUAGGAAGAAAUAAAGAAAAUAGAAAAGCAACUUAGAUAAAUGUCAUUGUCCUUUUUUACAUCUCUAUUGUCUGUCUAUUUUAUUUGAAGAACUAAACAUUUGUUUUACUAAAAUAAAAGUAAUCAAUAAUGGCUGGUGACAGAACACGCUAAUUUUCUUUGUUAUGGGUUCCAAAAUUUUUUUGUAUUAAGAAUGUCUGUUUUUCAUAAUAUCCACUGGUGUUUGAAUGCUUCAAACAAUUGCAAUGAGUAUUUUUUCUCUUAGCUUUAGAGGAAAUGCUAGUUCUUCAGCUAGGCUCACCCAUCAGACACACCAGCAACAAAGCAUAUCCACAAACUGUAAUCUUUGUUUUGAAAAAAUGAAUCUGUUCAUUAAAGAAGCAGCAAAAGAACUACUCAAGUUUGAAAAAGAAGUACUAUUAUCCCAUAUAAAGAUAGAAAGGAGAUAAAAAAUUAUGCUCCAAGUUACUUUUAAGAAGAAAAGUAUAUGGCAUACUCUAUUCUACUAUUCUUAGAAAUGGACUUGAUUCCAGUUAGUUGAUAUAAUCAGGGAUUCCUGGUCCAAUUCAUGUGUGUUUAAAAUAUGUUAAGUGGCAACAGUUGACUGCAGAUUUGAAAUUUAUUUAAUAGUUUGAGUAUCAUUGUGGAAUGUAAUGGUUUUAAUAAAAUCCCGCUAUUUUUCAACACAUCCUCUGCAUGCUCUUGAUGGUAAUCCUAGAGAACCACAAGAAAUACAUGGCUGCAGACAGUAUUAACAGCCAUAAUCUGAAUAAAGCAAGUGAACACUUGAGCACUUUAUUCCAGAGAGAUAAAAAACCUCAUGAAGGGAAAAUUCUGAAGCUUUUUUUCUUUAUUUGACAUAGUGCUUAGAGACAGAACAAGAUAUUUUUGGCCCUUGUAUUUUACAAAUGUACAAGAAAAAAGUAAUAAAAUA